rnacentral:rRNA from 1 species
CAAGAGCGUAUGUAAAAGUUGUUGCAGUUAAAAAGCUCGUAGUUGAACCUUGGGUUUGGUUGGCCGGUCCGCUUUUUUGCGAGUACUGGAUUCAACCGAGCCUUUCCUUCUGGCUAACCAGUCGUUUCGGCGGCUGGCGAACCAGGAUUUUUACUUUGAGAAAAUUAGAGUGUUCAAAGCAGGCAUUAGCUUGAAUAUAUUAGCAUGGAAUAAUAGAAUAGGACGUUAUGGUUCUAUUUUGUUGGUUUCUAGGACCGUCGUAAUGAUUAAUAGGGACGGUCGGGGGCAUCAGUAUUCAGUUGUCAGAGGUGAAAUUCUUGGAUUUACUGAAGACUAACUACUGCGAAAGCAUUUGCCAAGGACGUUUUCAUUAA